rnacentral:rRNA from 1 species
CCUACGGGGGACAGCAGUGAGGAAUAUUGGUCAAUGGCCGUAAGGCUGAACCAGCCAAGUCGCGUGAGGGAGGAAGGCGCAGUGGGUCGUAGACCUCUUUUGUCGGGGGACAAAGGGCGGGACGUGUCCGGUCCUGAAGGUACCCUGAGAAAAAGCAUCGGCUAACUCCGUGCCAGCAGCCGCGGUAAUACGGAGGAUGCGAGCGUUAUCCGGAUUCAUUGGGUUUAAAGGGUGCGCAGGCGGCACGUUAAGUCGGCGGUGAAAUCGCGGGGCUCAACCCCGCCGAGCCGUCGAAACUGGGGGGCUUGAGUGCGGGGGAGGCAUGCGGAAUGCGGGGUGUAGCGGUGAAAUGCAUAGAUAUCGCGCAGAACCCCGAUUGCGAAGGCAGCGUGCCGUGCCGCCACUGACGCUGAGGCACGAAAGCGCGGGGAUCGAACAGGAUUAGAUACCCGAGUAGUC